CCCCUCUGUGAAUUCCCGACACAACCCGCAGUCCCUGGUCGUCUCCCUCGUAGCCUCACUCGUCUCCCCUGCGCGCCGGAGCCCUCCCUCUCGGCUCCCCCCGCGCGGGAGCUCCCCUGCUCGGCUCCCCUGCGCGUCGCCGGAGCUGCCUCGGCCCACACCUCCACCGCGUUGCUUCCCUCUCCUUGUUCCCUUGCUCGUUCCCCAUGGUGAACCAUGGGAAGGAGAAGUCUCGAUUUUUGUUCUCGAUCUGCUCUCCGACGACGUCGGCCUUCCCCGAGCUUGGCGAGCUGGAUCUGUCCCUUCCCGUCGUCGAUCUGCUCUCCGCGACGCCGCCUGCCUCCUCGGACCAUCCCCUCUCGCUCAGCCGCGACUCCCUCCCUGGAGCAGCCGCUCCCGCCCAACCCAAAGCCGCCGGCCGGAGCUACGCCGCAGCACGCUCCCUCCCUCCUCUUCUUGGGGACCGGAUUGUGGCCGAGGAGGAGCUUGCCCUUGUCGCCCAGCAGCUCCCGCUCCAACGGGCUCGUCCACAAGUCCGGCAGCACCAGCCGCUCUUCCCUCUUCCGGUCUAGCCCAUCGACUCCUCCUCCUCCUCCUCAUGCUCAUCGGACUCGUGCACAAGUGCUCUGCAAGUCUGCAUUGGCAGAUACAGUUUUUCUUGGUGGGCGUGGUUUUGGAACAGCCAUGUCUUCUCUAAUUUUGACAGUGCUUGAGUUUAGAGUAUGGUUAUACUUUUGCUUAGGCAGGGUAAUUGCUUAUCUUACUAGUGCUCCUGAUUAUGAAGAUGGUCAACUAGACACUAAGAGAUAUGGUGAGCAAUAUGCUAGCAAAGGGGAAGAUGUUGACCUCAUGUUGCUCCCUGAGCAGAUACCUUCCUAUAGAGAUCCGGUUCACAGCAAAAAACUGGUGUUGAAUUCGCCGCCGGCUCCGAGACCUCGACCGGACGGACGGAAGGCGGAUUGAAAUUGUUGCUAUGGCGCCGUAUAUUAUAUGCAGUCCCACGUUUUCCUCUUCCUUUAUUUAGGUGAGCAUCAUCACAAAACAUGCAUCGUCAGACAGGUGUAGGUUGACUGAAUAUUGACUGAAUAUUGGGCAGGUGAUAUUGAUCUGAGCAGGAUUUGUUUUUAUCUCUGAAUUUGUAUGAUAUGUGAACCCCAAAACAUGGAUCGUCAGACAUGUGUAGGUUGAUGCCCCUCCAUUUUUCACAUCACAGACUAGACUAGGUGAUCAAUUUCUUUUUAAAUGCUAGGAAAAGGGGAGGUGUUCACCAUUCUAUAGAGAGCAGAAAGAUUGAUGGCUAGGGAAACUCAUGGAGAAAAGAAGACAAAGUUCUUCACUCUGGCGGCAGCACGGGCAGACAAGCAGCAGCAGUACGGGUAGACGAGCAGCAGCAGUACGGGUAGAUGAGCAGCAGCUGUACAGGCAAAGGAGCUCCACCGGCGGCAGGGGACAAGCAUCCGCGCGGGCGCGCGGGCAGGGGAGAAGGAGCAGCACGAGCUUGCGCGGGAGAUUGAAGAAGACGCGCGGGAGAUCGAGGAUCACACGCGCGAGCUCCCGGUCCACUAGAUCGUGGCGGCAGGCUCCGGCGACGCCGGUAGGGGAUCGCGGCGGCGCACGCGUGGGAGCUCCAGCAGGAUGCGCGGGAGCACGAUGGAGGACACACGCGAGCUUGAGGAGGAUGCACGGGGGUUCCAGGAGGGACGCGCGUGGCAGGAGAUUCCCGCGAAGCCCACAGGCAGCGAGAGGGGACUGCCGGCGCAGGUCUAGGCUGCGGCGGCAGAGGAGGUAAUUGGCGACGACGGCGAGAGCAGGUACUUGGCGAAGGUGAGAGCAGGUACUUGGCUACGGCGGAGGAGCUCAGCUGGGCUCGCCGGCCCCUCGCGAAUCAAGCAGCUGGGCGGCGCCGGCCCCUGGCGACGCGCAGGCGACGGGCAGAGGAAGAAGACGGGGCGGAGGGACUUGUUCGAAACGCUUUUCAAACCACAAGGUUUUUUUUGUAAAAUUACCAGUGAACUACGCCCGCGGCAUGUUUUUCGGGAUGGAGGGAGUACAAGGUAGAUAAAGUAUGGGGCUGUUUCAUCAGCUCACACAAA